CACAGACAAACACUGCUUAAAAGUGAAAACAAUCCAAAACCGCUCUAAAGAAAUAUGUGGGUGGGUUUUGAUGUGAGAGACAACAGGAGAUGGACUUUUUCACUGGAGGAAGCGU